rnacentral:rRNA from 1 species
UACAGAGGUCUCAAGCGUUGUUCGGAUUCAUUGGGCGUAAAGGGUGCGUAGGUGGCGCCGUAAGUCGGGUGUGAAAUUUCGGAGCUUAACUCCGAAACUGCAUUCGAUACUGCGGUGCUUGAGGACUGGAGAGGAGACUGGAGUUCAUGGUGUAGCAGUGAAAUGCGUAGAUAUCGUAAGGAAGACCAGUGGCGAAGGCGAGUCUCUGGACAGCAACUGACGCUGAGGCACGAAGGCCAGGGGAGCAAACGGG